ACCACCCUGGGACAGAUCCACACUGAACACUGCUAACCUCAAUGGAAAGUUUGUCUGGCCUGAAAACACACCUACUCUAAAGGCAGAGACCACAGAGCUUCUCUCACACAAAUUCUGCCUGGAUUUUAAACCUUGAUCUAUUUAAUUUUGCCUUCUUCCCAAAGAGAGUUCCAAUAUCAUGCACAUCUCACAGUCAGGUGUCCUUGGAAAGUCAUUUACUCUCAUAGUAUUAGAAAAAAAAUUAGGCUGUAAUUAAGCAGAGUUAUUAAUCUUUGGUCACUUGGGACCUGAAACCUAUUCAUAUUCAUGUCAACAGGAGUGUUUGCUGCUACAAUCAGGAUUGCACACCAGACAAGUGCCUCAUCAUUUCUCAGAAAAGAAAAUAAUCUUCUGGGGGCCAAUACCUAUCCUGCCUUCUGUUCACAGCUGUGCUUAGCUGGAAUGUUGACCACUUCUGCCAGUCCACCACCCACCAUCUCACCCAAAGAAUACCAUUUCCCUUGUCAUAGAAACAAACUGCCACAGUCUACAGCCUGGUUUCUUCCCUAAUCUCACAGCUCUGCCAGCUACCCAGAGGAGAAAAAACCAUGGCUGCAAUGGCAGAAGUGGUCUCUGGAAAAUGCUUUUCAAGAUUCCUCUUCCCAAGAGCACACAACUGUCAGGAUCUGCUAAAAGCUUCAAACUUCCCCCAAAAGACACUUAGAUCUACAAAGACUCCAAGUGCUCAAUGUGGAGCCUCAUCAGAGUUUCUUCAGGCCAAGGCAAGGGGAGGUUUGAUGAUUUUCCUUUACAGACACCACAUCCCUGCCCACAAGGUCACCCUGUCACAUGCAAGAAAAAGACAACACUGACAUGGAAACAGCUGUGAACAAAGUAGGGAGAGCAGGAACCUGAGUCAUAGCUGUGGCUUCAGGGAGGGAAAGGGCUACUUCAACUAGAAGAGCAAGCAACUUCAGGAUCUGAAUCUAAGCCUCACUUCAGUGUCCAAACCACAAGGAUGUGAAAUCCAAAAGGGACAUCCAGAGUCUGCUUCUGACAAAGGAGCACACAGGAAAGGAAGCAAUACCUGGAACAAGCAGCCUUGAGCACAAGGUAUGCAAGUCAAGCCAGAAGCAAGGAAAAAUCGUGAGAACAGUGUCAAAAGUAUCACAGGCACGUGCAGGGCCUUUGAGAGAAAGGAGCAAUGAGAAAAAAAGUGAAUGUAUUGAUAAGACAGAAAAUAGACUAGAAGAAGACAGCUGAAGGAACAUGGAGAGAAAUCCUAAAUACACAGAAGCUCUUCUAAAAGUAUAUAAAUAAUGUAAAUCUAAAUUAUAUUUAUCUAAAUAAUACCGACUCAGAGACAGUACUUGAAUUGUUACUGAAAAUCAAACAGCAGAAGAAUCAAUGAGAGGCUUUACAGGAACAGGAUCUUCUCUCCUGGUAGAUAAAGCUAUUAAAGAAUAGGAAAAGAGCAGCAGCACCCUUUACCAGGGAGUUACUCUUAUUCUAACCCUGCUACCAUUGCAACAGUCCAACACCUAAUUGUUAACAGUUUUCAGUUUUGGAAAAUGGAACUAAAGACAUGAGUUCUGCUGUCAUCCUGAACUGCCUAUACUGAUAAGAAUGUAUUUAUCACACGUGCAGAAAAACAGUUAAAAAUACAUAGCUGGCAUGGAACCUGGACAUUUUUUGUUCAGGAAAUGAUCCCACAUGCACUGGCUUUGGAUCUCAUGCUACUUAAAAUAUGUUCGCACUGAAGAAUAAGAAAUGUGAUAAGAAAUGGAAGUUUAAAAAUCAGCAUGAGUAGGUAAAUAAGGAAAACACAGAACAAACAUAGAACAGGAACUCUAAUUUACUAAACAGAACCCCUCAGUGUUAGACCACAAUACAGAAACACAGGACAUGAGAGAUGGCAGUGGGCAGCACUAGAAAGGAGAGGGCAUUGCAACAGGCCAGCAGAAAACGUCAGCGUCAUUUUGGGCUGUGUGCACUGAGGCUGAAUCACACUGCAGAGCAGGGAGUGGUCUCUGUUACCACAGUUCCAAUGUGUUCAGGCACCUGAAAUAUUGCAGCUCUCCUCCCAGCACACUGCAAUGAGUAUAUUGAAGUAUCCAAACAAAGCCUCAUUUAGCUAAGAGACUUCUAGCUACAAGAGCAGUAUCUCUUGAGCUGUCUGCUUCCCCAGAGGCAGAGACAAGUUCCUGCUGCCACAUCCCACACAGAGGAGUAAGACACUCUCACUUCUUGUUUCCCAAAACAGUACUCACCAGCUUUGAUGUAGUUAAAAAAAACCCAAAACAAACCAAAGCAGAAGCACAGCUUCCCCAUCAGCUGGGAUGCUGGAAGCUUGGACAAGAUACCAACAAAAGGUAUUUGGAAAAUAGCUCUGGCCAUAUGCUCACCUGGCAUGCUAUAAAAUGCAGUAUGCUUUUCACCUCUGGCUCUCUUUUGGAAACAACUUCUAAAGUUGACAGGAGACACAGCUUUCAAUCUAGAAUUAUUCCAUGUUCAAACAAGUACAUAAAAGCAUCAGCACAGACUUAACCACAGAAUGGAUCCCUAAGGGACCCCUGUAAGCUGUUGGUGCUCAGCAAUUCCUUAUUUUGACAGGAUUAAGGUCUGGGAAUUGUGAUCCCAGAGAAGGGUGGACUAUACACAAACAACGUGGCUGCUAAAGAUCAGCCACAAGUGACUGGGGACGCCAGAGGAAGCCAAAAGUGCACUCGUGGUGUCCUAGCACAGCAAGAACAAUGUAACAUUUUUGAUAAGCCAUCAGAGAACUGUUGCAACACAGCCUGGCUGGUGAAUGAAGCACUGGGAAACAAGGCCACGAUGCAGCGUGGCAGGUCCUUCAGAUAAAAUUAAACCCUCAGGGAAGUCGCUAUUAACAUUUUGCAAAGAGCACACCCCCAUCAAUCAUAUUAGGAGGGCACACUUAUCCCAAGUUCUGCUCAAUUAUUUUGUGCUCAGAAGGAGAACAAAACACUGCCAGAGAAGAAAUCCCAAAUUUGCUCCACUGCCACAGAGAGCUACAGAUAGUGGACAACAUGUGAGACAUAUUAUCCUGCAGGCCUGUAGCCAAGCCCAUGAUAUUAAGAAUAAUAAGCAAUCUGAUGGCUGUUUAGAACAUUUUGUUUUCUAUAUAGGACUGCAAGGAAAUCAUAAUUCAAACACGGCGUAUCACCAGUUAUAAGAGACUGUUUCCCUACAAGAAACUGUGGCCUCUCCCAAGCACUCUGGGUCUGAAGCUACAUUGGUUUGUCAAGGAAUCAUAGUGUCUUCUGAAGGAACAAUCUGGAAUCAUUUAACAUUCCCAGAGGUGCAACUCUGUAGCUUAUCCAAACAGAACAGAUUUCGCUGAGGUUGGAAGUUUACCAUGAAAACGUCUGAUUUACCCAGGAAACCACUCAAGAACAUCUCAGCCAGAUAAAUACACAUUAUUCCAGCUGGAAUAAGCAUUUCUUAAAGGAACACCCAGUUCAGAGGCUCUUCGUUGCCACAAAACUCUUAGGGGGUGUAGAAAAGACAGGCAAUGCUCCGUGCUGAGAGUAAACAGACCCCUGAGCCCACAGCAGCCCCUUCAUGUCGCUGUGCCAGAGGAGAGCACGUCCCUUCAAGUCACACCUCGUGGCAGGAGCUGUCACUGAAAGGAUUCCUGGACCUCAGGCAACAGAAAUCAUGCAACCACACCUCCACAAAUAAAGUGUUAACCUACUCUCCACGACUUGUCAGGUAAUGGACACUGGCUGCCCAAACAGGAAAACUGGGUUGCACAGACAAGAGCAUUCACCUCAUGGAACUUCAGAGGAUCACCCUAGCCGGCACUUUUGGGAUAUUUCCAGUUGUACUUGCAACAACCGCUCUCAUUCCAAGAAGACAUUCAUUAGGCUGUAACUCUCCAAAACUAAAGUUUGCAAUUUAUAAUGACAGAGAAUUCAGAGCACCUGCUGGAAUGUAAUAUCCUGAAGGUACACACAAAUAGUGUCACAAAGUGAGCCCAAAACACACGCAUUUCCCUCAACCAAUGCUUUUCUAACAACCAUACACAGGAGACACUGUGUUCGAGCACACUGUGUGGGUAGCAGCAAGACUUGGAAUGUUUCCUCAUGCAUUGUACUGAG